UACGGGGGGAGCAAGCGUUUGUUCGGAUUUACUGGGCGUAAAGGGCGCGUAGGCGGCCACCGCAAGUCGAUUGUGAAAUCUCCGGGCUUAACCCGGAAAGGUCAACCGAUACUGCGGGGCUAGAGUGCAGAAGGGGCAACUGGAAUUCUCGGUGUAGCGGUGAAAUGCGUAGAUAUCGAGAGGAACACCUGCGGCGAAGGCGGGUUGCUGGGCUGACACUGACGCUGAGGCGCGAAAGCUAGGGGAGCGAACAG
rnacentral:rRNA from 1 species